rnacentral:lncRNA from 1 species
UGGGACCUCCUAAAGUCUGCUGUGGAACGCUGUUGAUCCUAGAUGGGGGUGGCCAUGUUCUUGUAAAUGUGCACACAAGCUGAGAUACACAAGAAGAUUCACUGAUUUUGAGGCA